GACGAACGCUGGCGGCGUGCUUAACACAUGCAAGUCGAACGGAAAGGCCCUGCUUUUGUGGGGUGCUCGAGUGGCGAACGGGUGAGUAACACGUGAGUAACCUGCCCUUGACUUUGGGAUAACUUCAGGAAACUGGGGCUAAUACCGGAUAGGAGCUCCUGCUGCAUGGUGGGGGUUGGAAAGUUUCGGCGGUUGGGGAUGGACUCGCGGCUUAUCAGCUUGUUGGUGGGGUAGUGGCUUACCAAGGCUUUGACGGGUAGCCGGCCUGAGAAGGUGACCGGCGACAUUGGGACUGAGAUACGGCCCAGACUCCUACGGGAGGCAGCAGUGGGGAAUAUUGCACCAUGGGCGGAAGCCUGAUGCAGCAACGCCGCGUGCGGGAUGACGGCCUUCGGGUUGUAAACCGCUUUCGCCUGUGACGAAGCGUGAGUGACGGUAAUGGGUAAAGAAGCACCGGCUAACUACGUG
rnacentral:rRNA from 1 species